GAGUUGUAAUCUAGAGAAGCGUCUUCCGCGCUGGACCGUGUACAAGUCUCCUGGAAGGGAGCGUCAUAGAGGGUGAGAAUCCCGUCUUUGACACGGACUACCAGUGCUAUGUGAUGCGCUCUCAACGAGUCGAGUUGUUUGGGAAUGCAGCUCAAAACGGGUGGUAAAUUCCAUCUAAAGCUAAAUACAGGCGAGAGACCGAUAGCGAACAAGUACCGUGAGGGAAAGAUGAAAAGAACUUUGGAAAGAGAGUUAAACAGUACGUGAAAUUGCUGAAAGGGAAACGCUUGAUGUCAGUCGCGUCGGCCAGGGAUCAACCUUGCUUCUCGCUGGGUGCACUUCCUGCUCGACGGGUCAGCAUCAGUUUCCAUCGCCGUACAAUGGCGCGAGGAAUGUGGCACUCUUCGGAGUGUGUUAUAGCCUUUCGUCCUAUGCAGUGGUAGGGACUGAGGAACUCAGCACGGCUUCACGGCUUGUG
rnacentral:rRNA from 1 species